GGCCUCGGCCAGGGAAGAAGAUACCAAACCAGGCAGUGAAGUCAAAGAAGCUGGGAAGAAAAGGGAGGAUGCACCUUCCACCACUGCUCCUCAGAGGUCCAGAGAUCUGCAGCCACCAGCUCUCAAGGUUGCAGGACUGAACACCUGGAUCCACCACUCCUCGGUGAAAGCAGCCCACCAGCCGAGCGACGCCCAGCCUGAGUGGAAGGUGACCUCCGACCAGAAACACCCCCUGUGGAUCACCCUCAAGAAGACGGAGGACCUGGCUGAUCACCUGCUCCAAGGAAUUCAGAUAACACCCUGCUGAAUUCUCCCUUACACUAAUAUUUCUUUCUUAUC